rnacentral:rRNA from 1 species
UACGUAGGGGGCGAGCGUUGUCCGGAUUUAUUGGGCGUAAAGAGCUCGUAGGCGGCUGUUCAAGUCGAACGUGAAAACUCGGAGCUCAACUCCGAGCCUGCGUUCGAUACUGGGCGGCUAGAGUCUGGUAGGGGGACCUGGAAUUCCUGGUGUAGCGGUGGAAUGCGCAGAUAUCAGGAGGAACACCAAUAGCGAAGGCAGCUCGCUGGGACGUUACUGACGCUGAGACGCGAAAGCGUGGGGAGCAAACAGG